GGUUUGUUUUGUUUUUUUUUGCAUUCUGGCCGACUUUCUUUUAAUUAAAUAAAAUAAAACUCAGAAUAAAACUAUUUAUUCGGCCAGUUCUUUUCUAUAGACAUAAUAUAUUAAUCGCUUCAUAUUUUGACCGGAGCGGCUCUUUGAAUCAAGAAUGUGCAAGUUAAGUGAUGUCUUACGAGGCCGGAAAAGGUCGCAUCUGUGGAACCACGAAGCUACCGAUGCGUUAUUUGCGGAUUGGUGAUAAUAAGUGCGAAAAUGAUGACGAAAAUUUGAGCGAUUGGUUCCAAAUGAAGCGGAGUUCCGGGCAUUUUGUAAUUUGAACGGUGGAAGCUUCCAGUGGCAGUUGGCCCAAGGAUUCUCGCUCCCGGAAAAAAGUAAAUUCGCGCUAAUUGUUUGUCCUGUUGGUUGCUGCUAAGGAUGUUACCAUUAAUGGCCAGGGAAUCAGCUAUCCUAGUGGAGUUCUCAUCGAGUAAAGUAGAGGCAGACGUUGCCGAAUGCAGUGCCUUGACGUGACGUGGAAUUUCGGGUGUUCGGUGAAAGUGAUCGGGUGUCUUCGUUGGGGAUGAGUACGGUGGUCACGACGAUUUGGUCGGCUUCAUCUUCCUUUCGAGGGGCUGGACCACAGUUGGCGUAAGCCAACGGUGCUAAGCUCCCCCUGGCGGUGCGGCGUCUGACGACGCAAAAUCCCGCAGGUCGCCCGUGUGGUGUAGCCGCACCGGUUAACCAGGGGGGCCCUUCAUCAACGCAAGUUGGUUAGGGCAUUAGCACAGGCAGCCGAUGAAGUCGAUGAAAGUGCACUGUCCGAUUCCAUCCUCGGACGGUGUGUCAGAUGGUAAGUACCGUUCCAAUCUAAAUAAUCUGUUGACUAGGGACUAAUUCUUUUUUUCUUUUUUAGGUGCUGAUUGACCGAUGCCGGAUGUCAGGUGAAGAAUUUCCUGGCAAAACUUUUUUGGAAGAUGUUGUCUUAAGUGAUUCCUGAUUUCUUGGUGUUGCUGCUUUUUUAGAGUGGGAAGGUGAAAACACUGAAGCAGCUGUCAGUUCCUGAUUGCAACGAACUUUGGAUCAUAGAGUCAAUUUUGAUGAACGAUCACCAACGCAAAACCAGUUUUUUUAAAUCCAUGAUACUUUCGAGAAGAUUUGCUUCACGUCAUUUUACAAUCGAUCAAGCUUUCUGGACUAUAGAGCCCCGUAAAGACCGACGAAGACAAAAUGUUCAAAAUGGCGACGUAAACAUCUAUCUCACCAAAACCACCCCAAUGGACAAUCAAAAUCGAAGCGAACUCACCUGUUAUUUCGGUCGGCUUCUUCGGUCUUUUCUCAGUUCCGCAGUGAAUCUCAAGGAUACCGCAAGCAAUGCAUUGAUAUUCCGACGAUCUGCGAAAAAAACCGAAGAAGUCGACUGAAGUUGCAGGUAAGUUUGCCUUGAUUUUGAUUGUGUUUCUGGUGGGAUUUGAAAGGAAAACUUCAGAGAUUCUGACGGGAAUCCUUUUGAGAUUCUGACGGGAAUCCUUCAGGGAUUACGAUAGGAAUUCUUUUAGGAUUCCGACGUGAAUCCUUUAGGGAUUUCAACGGGAAUCCUUUAGAGAUUCCGACAAGAAUCCUUCAAGGAUUCCGGCGGGAAUUCUUCGGAAAUUCCGACGUGAAUUCUUCAGAGAUUCCAAUAAGAAUCGUUCAGGGAUUCCAACGGAAAUCCUCUAUGGAUUUCGACGGGAAUUCAUUUGGGAUUCCAACGUGAAUCUUUUUGACAUUACGACAUGAAUCCUUUAGGAAUUCCGACGGGAACCCUUCACAGAUUCCGACGGAAAUUCUUUAGAGAUUCCGACGGGAAUCCUUCAAGGAUUCUGACGGGAAUCAUUCAGGGAUUCAGACGGGAAUCCUUCAGAGAUUUCGACGGGACUCCUUUUGGGAUUCCGAAGGGAAUCCUUUUGAGAUUCCGACGUGAAUCCUUCAGGGAUUCUGACGGGAAUCCUUCAGAAAUUCCGACAGGAAUCUUUCAGAUAUUUCGACAAGAAUCCUUCAGGAAUUCCGACGGAAAUCCUCUAGGGAUUUCGACGGGAAUUCUUUUGGGAUUCCGACAUGAAUCCUGUUGGGAUUCCGACAUGAAUCCUGUUGGGAUUCCGACAUGAAUCCUGUUGGGAUUCCGACAUGAAUCCUGUUGGGAUUCCGACAUGAAUCCUGUUGGGAUUCCGACAGGAAUUCUUCAGGGAUUCCGACGGGAAUCCUUCUGGGAUUCCGACAAGAAUCCUUCAGUGAUUCCGACGGGAAUCCUUCAGUGAUUCCGACGGGAUACCUUCAGUGAUUCCGACGGGAUACCUUCAGUGAUUCCGACGGGAUACCUUCAGUGAUUCCGACGUGAAUCCUGUUGAGACUCCGACGUGAAUCCUUCAGAUAUUACGACUGAAAUUUUUCAGAGAUUCUGACGGGAAUGCUUCAGAGAUUCCGACGGGAAUCCUUCAGAGAUUCCGACGGGAAUCCUUCAGGAAUUCCAACGGGAAUCCUUUAAAGAGUUCGAUCGGAAUUCUAUAGGGAUUCCGACGGGAAUCCUUCAAAGAUUACGACUGAGAUUCUUCAGAGAUUCGGACGAGAAUCCUUCAGAGAUUCCGACGGGAAUGCUUUGGGGAUUCCGAAGGAAAUCCUUCGGAGAUUCAGACGGGAAUGCUUCAGGGAUUCAGACGGGAAUCCUUCAGGGAUUUUGCCCGGAAUUCUUUAGGGACGGGAAUCCUUUUGGGAUUCCGAUGGGAAUUCUUUAGGGAUUCCGACCGGAAUCCUUGAGGGAUUUUUUCGUAGAUUCCGAUGAGAAUCCUUCAUAGAUUCGGACGGGAAUGCUUCGGUGAUUCAAGGCCCAAACUUUUAGAGAUUCUUAUUCUGGGGGACUCUUCUUUUUGUCGCACCCUAUACUCAGGGUCGUUAAAAUUGCUCUAAGGAGAAAUUAGAUGGAAUGUUGGAAAAGCUUCCCUUUGUCGAAUAAAACCGAGAAUAGCAGAACAACGAAUGUAAUUGAGAAUGGUACAAAGGAGUGAUGGUGUGCAAGAAACGUUCACGCUAAAUGUAAUUUAAGUUACAUACACACCAGUAUAGCAUGUCUCAAUACGACAGUUUACAAACACGUACCAGACUUCUCGGAAGCCUACAGGGCCUUGUGGAGAACAAUGCCGCGCAUAACCAAUUGAAGCAAUGGUAUUGGUAAAUGGUCAGUCUUCUGCGAAGUUACUGUUUGGACCAAAGUGUCGAGAACAUCAACGGAAUGAUGAAAACCCUUGCACUACUGGCUCUGCGCCACGUUCUCGAAUUGACACACGCCUAACAGAUCUAUCAAGACGUGACCGAGAAUCGUCCUCUGUAGAUCUACUUGGCAAUUCUCACAUGGCGCCAUUCAGUGUGGCAAACAUGUCACAAAAAGUUAGAAAAAAAUCGAUUACUGUUUAAUGACCACCAAUACAUGGAGGUUGUCAUAUGUCUACAGCUGAUUAUGCUACUGUUCCUCGAAUGUCCCGAUAGUUUGAGACGUUACAAAUCCUUUAAGAUUAGUUUGACGAUAGCAAACAAAUACUUCGCACGUUGACCAAAAACUGAUUGCCGGAGUUCGGAAAUGCAGUUGCAAAGCUGAUCAAAUGUCUUUUCACUCCGCCGGUCUCUGGUUAUAGGGUUGCUAGCGAGAAAAUCAAAAAUACUUCAAGAAACCCAAAUCGAUAGCAAAAUGGCAACGCUAGAGAAGUCCAAAACAAAAUGCUAGCAUUGAAUGAAGCUCAAACGCAAACUAAAACCAUUAGUUCUGCCAUCCAGUCGAUGUCUACGAUGAAGAGGAUUCGGUGAACCCGUGGUCGGUACCUAUUUUCUCAGCACGUCGAUUUUCGAUUUUCCUAGAAGCAGAAUUCCUGGCGCGCAAAAUGGAGAACGAUCAAUGCACGAAUCAUCGACUAUUCCAACUACUAAAGCGCAACGUCAAGGUUCGAGACGGUUUGAAAUGUAACGUGUUGAAGUUUUCAGCAAAGUGCUGGUCACCGAACUAUGGAUAAUGCGGGACAAAAUUUUCAUCGCGACGAAUGCACAUGGAAGUUACUGCAGGCAAGAUACCCAGGAAGCGCUGCAGUUCUCCAGCAAUCCACUGAGUUCAGUUCCAAUCUGAAGGAUUCUAUGAAGCAGUUGUACUCCUAGUGCGACCCAUCCACACGAUGCUCGUAACCCGAAUUAAAUCUAAAAUCUACGAGACUAAGCCUACACCCACUGCUCAGCAUUCUUCCGCCCAAUGCGCCCGAAAUACUGAAUCCUACGUUUGACCCGACUCAACUGGCCCAUUUAUAUCUCCAUUAUGUUCACAUUCCUCCGAAAAGUCAUCACUGACAAGCGCUUCUUAACGGACGCUCGUAGCAUGAUGGUAAAGCUGGCUGCCACCCAACUAAGCAUUACAACAAGGCACGAUCAUUUGUUUGUAUGCUGUUACACGUCCUGCGAAGUCCUAUCGGGAUCGCAAAUAGGGCAACCGCUGCUGCUGCCGAUGAGAAAACGAAAAGAAUUUCUUAAAAUGCUGAAACUGGACAUGAUCCGGGUGAACAUGAACGGAUCGGUCGUUCAGGAGAAGAAGUGGAUGAUUGUGGACAGCGAUGGGAAGACAUCCUUCGAUUGUGGAAGAUCGGUACGUGGCAGUACUUGACAGGGUUUGCUUCCGAUAAACGACCAGACUAAAAAAAACUAAAUAAAUGCUAUUUAUGCUUCAAAAAAUACUGUAUAUAUGAUCAUUUUUUUAAUUCAAAUUUUAUUUUUAAUUGAAACCUUUAAAAUAUUCAUAUGCUGAAAGUAAUUAUUUCAUAACGAAACUUAUGAAAUUUCAUAAGGUUAAUCAAUGAAAAUUUUAAGGUAACUUUAAGAUAAACAUAUGCUUCAUUAUCGGUAUAAUUCAUUUCAGGUUCAUCCAGUUUCA